rnacentral:lncRNA from 1 species
AAUAAAUAAAAAGUAAGGUGUCUAGGGCUGUAAGAGCUUCUUUGAAAAUCUGAUUUUUGUGGUUUGUAGUCAUCUCCUAAACUGUUUGCAUUUUUAAAUUUUCCCCUGAUUUAGUUGAUCAUGGCCUUGGGAGGCUGAGGCAAAAAAAGGAGCAUCUAAUAGCAAGGCGUGAAGCCGGGAAGCGGAGCUUGCAGUGAGCCAAGAUCGUGCCACUGCACUCCAGCCUGGGCGACAGAGCGAGACUCCGUCUCAGCUGCAAAAAAAAAUCACAAAGAAAAUCUCACAAUGUUUUAAGAAAGUUUAUUCAUUUGUGUUGGGCCACAUUCAAAGCUGCCCUGGGCCACAUUCAAAGCUGUCCUGGGCCACAUGCAGCCUGUGGGCUGUGGGUUGGACAAGCUUGCUAAGCAAUAUAAAGUAAAGGUUGGGGCCGGGUGUGGUGGCUUAUGCCUGUAAUCUCAGCACUUUGAGAGGCCGAGGCAAGAGGAUCACCUGAGGACAGGAGUUCGAGACCAGCCUGGCCAAGAUGGUGAAACCCCAUCUAUACUAAAAAUAAAAAAUUAGCCAGA